UAGUAAAUCAUUUGUGGUACCUCCAAAUUUCAUGGAAGAUCUGUUUCAGAAACCUGAGAAAAUGUUGUCGCUGCCAGUUGUAACCAUAUAACAAUGGAACAUCUUUGGGCACUUUUCUGAUGCAGUCCCCAUCCUGACAAUUAUGGUUGUUAACCAAACCCCACAUUCCCAGAACUUGACAUUCUCUGCUUUGAGAGCUGUGUUGAGGCAUAAUAGAGCAAAACUAGAGAGCAAGAUCUGGCAGAAGUUUUACAAAAGGAAGGUGUUUCCAACUUGGAAUGCUUCACCAAAUAGUUUCUCCCAUCCCUUCUGUUAGCUGGCUAAAUGAAGGCUCACUCUUUUGCAAUCUCUCAUGGAACCUCUGCAUGGAAAUGCUCCCUAAUUAAAAGAUCAGAAAGAACAGAACAACAGUACUGAAUGAUAUCACUGUUAAGGAUCUGGGAACCCCAUGGUACAGCAGAGAAGUAAGACAAAGGUAAAUGGUACUUUCUCAUUCCUCAGCAAAAAUAGAAUGGAAAGUUUGUCUGCAAAAGAAAGCAAAGUGAAAAAGUACAUUUCCCUUAAAUAGAAAAUUUGAACUUUAACCAAGGAAUACUUUCUAAAAAUUGAGUUUUUCCUGUCCCUUUCAGUACUGAUAGUACUAGAAUUUUUUUAGGUUUCUCCUCUCAAUAAUGUGGGAGUGGCUUUCAAAGGGCAACUUAUACAUUCAAAAGAUAGGGUAUUUGCCAAAAUGUAGAUUUCUGGGCACCAACAGCCAAAAAUGUAUAAUCCAUGGAUCUAUAUCUCAGGAAUAAGCAUGUUUAACAAACUUCCCAAAUAGAUCUAAUUAUACUAUAUUAGCGGAAUCACUGAUCUAAUUUUUUCCUUCACAGUGAUUACUUGUGACAGUAUUACCUUCUAUGAGAGCUAAGGGAAGGCUUUGUUUUUAUGUAUAUUGGAGGUGUAGAAUGCAGGAGUUAUUUGUAAUGUUGUUUUUGCAGAAGCCCCAAAAUGAAAUAUUGUUCUCUGCCCAAGAUUGGGAUGAGUUGAUUAAACACAUAAUAUGUUGAAUCCAGUAUUAAAUUAACUAAAAUAUUCACUCUACAGAGUGUUCUGUUUCACUGAAUGUUGACACUGCAAUGAAACCUUUUAGUUGCUAAACUGGAUGAUUACCAAAAUACAAUGCUUGUGUGUAUUAUGUACUUUUUUGGACCAUAAAAUUAUUCAUUUAACUGAUUCACCAACAGUGGAAUGAGCUUCUAAUUUGAAAAGGAGGUAUCUGAAUUCAAAGGACUGUUUUUAAUAUAGAAAAUUAUGACUUAAGCUACCAAACUUAUGUGGUUUUGGUUAUUAAAUAAUUUUGUGAUCUUGCAUUCUAAUGGCACCAACACCAAUAAGAACAUAAAAAUGUUCUUAAAACACAUUAAAUUAGAAAUUUUGAGAUUUUUUUUAAAGUAGGUAGAUUUGGGUUUGAAAGUCCCUAGUGUGUCUGCUUCACCUGUCAAAGAACAGAGCAAAACCAACCCUUCCCGAUUUCUGGGGAUUCAUUUUGUAGACUUUUCUUU